GUACUCGCUUUGCCAGCACAUACUCUAAAAUUAGAACGAUACAGAGAGGAUUCACAUCGCGCCAGCGCUAGUGUAACUCGCAAAAUCGUGAAGCAUUAAUAAGAAUA